AAUCAACCUUUAAUAUAAAGUAUAGACUUUAUUUUUUUAUUAAAUCUAUGUAUCAAAAGUGGCAUUGCCCACGUAAACAUCAAUUUUCACCCCUUUCAUAUAAGGUCUUACUGCUACCUUACUGUAUAAAGAACUUCUGGCAGAUUAUCAAGUAUUGACGAUACGACAGUGCGUUGAUAGAUAUAUCAACGCACGUCAGCUAGUUUAAAAAAAAUUGUACUUAACACCCGUACAAUACGAUCCAUCGUUUCACUUCGUGUAUGGAAUUCCAAAUAUGUACAAUUGUACAUGCUUUUCUGAAGAGGUUGCCAUUAUAAAAUAAAAUUCUAAAUGAGAUCCAAGGUCAACACGAUAUUUAUGAAACUUUACUACACAUGUGUACCAAAUGAUAAUCCGCCGCAUGCCGGUAUUGUUUUACAGCAAUAUGAAUGAAUAUAGACUUUUUAAGAAAUUACUUUCGUGGAGCUGAUAGGCUGUGGUGACAACUUACUAUUAGGCUGCAAGCCUGUUUGUCUGCUUGGUUGAAAUUAAAAAGAAAAUUAAUACAAUUUCUGAUAACUUACUGUUUCAUGGCAAUGUUAGCCAACUGCUGCAUCAGAGCAAAGGUCUCAUUCUUCUUCAAUAACAACGUGAAGUAGUGCUCACUAUCCCUCGUCACGACUUUGAUGGAAUCCGGGAACAGUAGGCUGUUGGUCUUCUCCAAUUCUUUCACGUCGGCCCAUCGGAUUUUAAUCGAAGUUUGUCGUCCAAAUAAAUAUGAAUAAAAACACAUAUAGUGUACUGACAAGUACAGCCACCCUUGUCUGAGCAUUUUGCCUUUCCAGUAACUAAAAGAAGAGCCAUUAAUUGAGAACAUGAAAUGAUGGAUUUUUUGUAUUCUUCUUCUUUGCAUGUCUAAUCAACACUCUAUUGGGUGCUACCUAAAUAUAUUCACUUCGAGGGCUUCUUCAGAAGCUGCCAUCAAGUCAGGCCAAGUACAGGUGAUGAGAUGAUGAUGAUGUUGAUGAGAUGAUUUUUUGUAUGUGUCUAUAAUAAAGUAGCAGCCACUCACAUGUGAUUAUCGGAAAUCAACAUAUGGUGAUAAUUGGCGAGGAAUAGAAAUGGUUGAAAAACAAAAAGUGGAAGCUUUUGCCCAAGACCUUAGUUCAAAGAGACAUUUUCUAACCCUACAAUAGAAAUGGAGUUCAAACUUUGUAUUACAAAUGCAGCCAAUACAUUUUACUGAAGAAACAGUAUUUAAAUUACCUUCUGUGAUGUUCUCCUGCUCAGUGGCUAUAAUCGAGUUUAUCUUGCAACAGACAAAAUCUGUGAUGUCUUCCUCUUUGUCAAAGGAAUGCAGAGUCGGACACACAUUGUCAAAUAGCCACUGCCAGUCUUGACGGAUUUCAUGUUCUGUGAGAGCUGUGGCUAUUACUGUUAAAUAAUAAAAUAAAUAUAUUAGAAUUGAUCCCUAAAGCACAAGACGGGAAUCCAUUGAAUAUAGAUAGAUGUCUUAUUCUUAUAGGCAGUUAACAAAUAUAUCAAUUAGUUUUAAAUUUACUUUUGUUUACUUUUGAUCAUUUAUAUUUAUUUUAUUUGUUGUUGUUAUUCUACAUCUUCUUUUUGAAUGUGUUAUUGUUAAUACAACAACAUGACCAAUGUUAUUUAAGUCGCCUAAAGGCAUCUGACAUCUAAAAACCUCUAAAUGUAAUUAUUCAUAAUUUAACAAUAUAUUUGAGAUUUGUUACCCUAUUUCCCAAAUUCAUAGGCAUAUCAUUAUUGUAAACUCUGAAAAGACACUUCAUUUGCCAAUGGAAAGUUAUUAGUUCAUUAUAAACGAGAACAAAUAAAAGAUAAUACUGCAAUUUGGUAAUAGCCCUGAUUAAUUGUUAUUUGAUCUCAUUAUAUUAGGCAGUUCAUCAAACACAAAUUCAUAACCAAGUUUAUUCACAAAAAGAUCUUCAUAAAGUUGAAAAUAUUUUGUAUGAAUAUUUGUUACCCACAAAGACCCAUGUUAGUAAUAUUUUUCAAAUAAAUUAUUAGCACUU